rnacentral:pre_miRNA from 1 species
GCCUCAGCCUCCCAAAGUGCUCGGAUUACAGGUAUGAACCACAGUGCCCAGCCCCCCCUCCUUUAUUUAUUUAUUUUUUUAAGAACUGGGGUUUCACAGUGGUUCACACCUGUAAUCCUAGCACUUUGGAAGGCCAAGGC